GCGGAUGUGGCGGAAUUGGUAGACGCUCCAGACUUAGGAUCUGGUGCCGAAAGGCGUGGGGGUUCGAGUCCCUUCAUCCGCA
rnacentral:tRNA from 1 species